GGUUAAGUGACUAAGCGUACACGGUGGAUGCCUAGGCAGUCAGAGGCGAUGAAGGGCGUGCUAAUCUGCGAAAAGCGUCGGUAAGGUGAUAUGAACCGUUACAACCGGCGAUACCCGAAUGGGGAAACCCAGUGUGUUUCGACACACUAUCAUGUCAUGAAUACAUAGUGGCAUGAGGCGAACCGGGGGAACUGAAACAUCUAAGUACCCCGAGGAAAAGAAAUCAACCGAGAUUCCCCCAGUAGCGGCGAGCGAACGGGGAGGAGCCCAGAACCUGAAUCGGCUUGUGUGUUAGUGGAAGCGUCUGGAAAGUCGCGCAGUAAAGGGUGAUAGCCCCGUACACUAAAAUGCACAGGUCGUGAGUUCGAUGAGUAGGGCGGGACACGUGACAUCCUGUCUGAAUAUGGGGGGACCAUCCUCCAAGGCUAAAUACUCCUGACUGACCGAUAGUGAACCAGUACCGUGAGGGAAAGGCGAAAAGAACCCCGGCGAGGGGAGUGAAAUAGAACCUGAAACCGUGUACGUACAAGCAGUGGGAGCACCUUCGUGGUGUGACUGCGUACCUUUUGUAUAAUGGGUCAGCGACUUAUAUUUUGUAGCAAGGUUAACCGUAUAGGGGAGCCGUAGGGAAACCGAGUCUUAACUGGGCGAAUAGUUGCAAGGUAUAGACCCGAAACCCGGUGAUCUAGCCAUGGGCAGGUUGAAGGUUGGGUAACACUAACUGGAGGACCGAACCGACUAAUGUUGAAAAAUUAGCGGAUGACUUGUGGCUGGGGGUGAAAGGCCAAUCAAACCGGGAGAUAGCUGGUUCUCCCCGAAAGCUAUUUAGGUAGCGCCUCGUGAACUCAUCUUCGGGGGUAGAGCACUGUUUCGGCUAGGGGGCCAUCCCGGCUUACCAAACCGAUGCAAACUCCGAAUACCGAAGAAUGUUAUCACGGGAGACACACGGCGGGUGCUAACGUCCGUCGUGAAGAGGGAAACAACCCAGACCGCCAGCUAAGGUCCCAAAGUCAUGGUUAAGUGGGAAACGAUGUGGGAAGGCAUAGACAGCCAGGAUGUUGGCUUAGAAGCAGCCAUCAUUUAAAGAAAGCGUAAUAGCUCACUGGUCGAGUCGGCCUGCGCGGAAGAUGUAACGGGGCUAAACCAUGCACCGAAGCUGCGGCAGCGACGCUUAGGCGUUGUUGGGUAGGGGAGCGUUCUGUAAGCCGUUGAAGGUGGCCUGUGAGGGUUGCUGGAGGUAUCAGAAGUGCGAAUGCUGACAUAAGUAACGAUAAAGCGGGUGAAAAGCCCGCUCGCCGGAAGACCAAGGGUUCCUGUCCAACGUUAAUCGGGGCAGGGUGAGUCGACCCCUAAGGCGAGGCUGAAAAGCGUAGUCGAUGGGAAACAGGUUAAUAUUCCUGUACUUGGUGUUACUGCGAAGGGGGGACGGAGAAGGCUAGGCUAGCCGGGCGACGGUUGUCCCGGUUUAAGCGUGUAGGGGGUGUGACCUGGUAAAUCCGGUUACAUAUCAACCCUGAGGCGUGAUGACGAUGCACUACGGUGCAGAAGUAGUUGAUGCCCUGCUUCCAGGAAAAGCCUCUAAGCUCCAGGUAACAUUAAAUCGUACCCCAAACCGACACAGGUGGUCAGGUAGAGAAUACCAAGGCGCUUGAGAGAACUCGGGUGAAGGAACUAGGCAAAAUGGUGCCGUAACUUCGGGAGAAGGCACGCUGGCAUGUAGGUGAAGUCCCUUGCGGAUGGAGCUGAAGCCAGUCGAAGAUACCAGCUGGCUGCAACUGUUUAAUAAAAACACAGCACUGUGCAAACACGAAAGUGGACGUAUACGGUGUGACGCCUGCCCGGUGCUGGAAGGUUAAUUGAUGGGGUCAGCCGCAAGGCGAAGCUCUUGAUCGAAGCCCCAGUAAACGGCGGCCGUAACUAUAACGGUCCUAAGGUAGCGAAAUUCCUUGUCGGGUAAGUUCCGACCUGCACGAAUGGCGUAAUGAUGGCCAGGCUGUCUCCACCCGAGACUCAGUGAAAUUGAACUCGCUGUGAAGAUGCAGUGUACCCGCGGCAAGACGGAAAGACCCCGUGAACCUUUACUAUAGCUUGACACUGAACAUUGAGCCUUGAUGUGUAGGAUAGGUGGGAGGCUUUGAAGCGUGGACGCCAGUCUGCGUGGAGCCAUCCUUGAAAUACCACCCUUUAAUGUUUGAUGUUCUAACUCGGCCCCAUAAUCUGGGGUGAGGACAGUGUCUGGUGGGUAGUUUGACUGGGGCGGUCUCCUCCCAAAGAGUAACGGAGGAGCACGAAGGUUAGCUAAUCACGGUCGGACAUCGUGAGGUUAGUGCAAAGGCAUAAGCUAGCUUGACUGCGAGAGUGACGGCUCGAGCAGGUACGAAAGUAGGUCUUAGUGAUCCGGUGGUUCUGAAUGGAAGGGCCAUCGCUCAACGGAUAAAAGGUACUCCGGGGAUAACAGGCUGAUACCGCCCAAGAGUUCAUAUCGACGGCGGUGUUUGGCACCUCGAUGUCGGCUCAUCACAUCCUGGGGCUGAAGUAGGUCCCAAGGGUAUGGCUGUUCGCCAUUUAAAGUGGUACGCGAGCUGGGUUUAGAACGUCGUGAGACAGUUCGGUCCCUAUCUGCCGUGGGCGUUGGAAGAUUGAGAGGGGUUGCUCCUAGUACGAGAGGACCGGAGUGAACGCACCACUGGUGUUCGGGUUGUCAUGCCAAUGGCAUUGCCCGGUAGCUAAGUGCGGAAAAGAUAAGCGCUGAAAGCAUCUAAGCGCGAAACUUGCCUCAAGAUGAGUCUUCCCUGGGCCUUUAAGGCCCCUGAAGGAACGUUUAAGACUAAGACGUUGAUAGGCUGGGUGUGUAAGUGCAGCGAUGCAUUGAGCUAACCAGUACUAAUGAUCCGUGAGGCUUAACCUU
rnacentral:rRNA from 1 species